GAUGAACGCUGGCGGCGUGCUUAACACAUGCAAGUCGAACGGAAAGGCCUGCUUUUCCUUGUGGAUUGCGGGUACUCGAGUGGCGAACGGGUGAGUAACACGUGAGUCAUCUGCCCCCAACUUGGGUAUAAGCCUGGGAAACUGGGUCUAAUUCUCGUUAGGACUGCAGGGUGGAGCCUGUGGUGGAAAACGUUCUUCUAGUGGUAGGGGAUGAGCCCGUGCUGUAUCAGCUUGAUGGUGGGGUGAUGGCCUACCAAGGCGGUGGCGGGCAGGCGGCCUGGGCGUGUGAGGGUGGACGGUGACACUGGGACUGGGAUACGGCCCAGACGCCUGCGGGAGGCAGCAGUGGGGAAUAUAUGAGCAUAGGCCGAGGGGUGAUGCGGCGACGCAGUGUGGAAGAUGACGGCCUUCGAGUUCUAAGCUACUUGCGAACACGAUGAAGCCACGUGGUUGUGAGGAUGGUGACGGUAGUGGUAGAAGAAGCACCGGCUAACUACGUG
rnacentral:rRNA from 1 species